rnacentral:other from 1 species
GCCAGUCUGCAGUGUUCGAGGUGCUUUCAAUAACCGCUCUUUGCCUUAGGAAAAUUACGGGAGCUGAAACCCGCGCGGAGAAUGUCAGGCCGUAAACCGGAAGACAGACGACGUGAGGGAGGCGCCCACCUAAACUCAAAAAGGUCUUGAGCCUUUGGGCAUACGGCACAGGCGGACUGGCA